ACCAUUUUUCCUUUACCCAGAUGAAACCCAGCUGCCGCCUUACUUCCUUCAGCCACCAAGAUUCCCUUUUUCCCAAACCUUCCCAAACCCACGCAGCAAAACAGCAAACUCAUGGAAGAAAGAAAAAAGAGAAAGAGGGAAGGAGAGAUGGGGGACUGAAGGAAGAGAAGAAAGAAAGGGAGAAGGGAGAAGAGAGGGAGACGACGCCGGUGGGCCUCACUGCCACCAUCGCCGUCGCUGUGCCGUCGGGAGGGAGAUCCGAGAGAGAGGAAGAGAGCACCGAUGAGGGAGAGCGUCGGGGAGGAAGUAGCUUGCUGCCGCCUUGGCGUCCUGCUGCUCGCGUCAUCACCGCCAGCUUCGUCGGAUCCUUACCGCCGAACCCGUUCUUGCCGCCGCCGUUGGAAUCACGAACAGGGGAAGGAGAAGACGCGGGCCAGUGCCGCGAGGAGGAGCGCGACCCGCUACACGACGCUGCGCCGCCGUGUGUUGUUGCCGUCGCCGAGCUCCCAUGGUUGCCGCCGGCAAGAUUCAAAGGGAGAGAAGCUCGAGGAGAGAGAAAGAUCGGCGGAGGAGGUUUUUGUUCGAGCGGCCGUGCCUCCACCGCCUUUCACCGUUGCAGAUCCGCCACCGUCCACCGCGCCGCACCACGCCACGUUGCCUCCGGAAACCGCCACUGAGGCCUAAGUCUGUUUGGUUAUACAGUCACCACUGUUGCUUGUGUGGCUAUGCCGUGGUGAUUAUAGCUGCCGCCACAGUCACCGCCUGAAUGCCCUGGAAUUUCUAUUGUCUUGCCCUAAUUCAAGUCCAGUGUCACUACCCUGUGUUGUUCCUGCAUUUGAUUUCAUCAAAUUCGAAUCCUGCUGCAACCAUUGUCAUUACCGUAGGAAAAUUAACGCUGCUGCAAAUUAGGAAGGAAAGGGGAUUGUCGCGUUUAAAUUACACGAUCUUGGCUAAUCAAGCUUUACCUUUUCAGGAACCAAAUGAAGAGGCAUUAAGGAGUGUUAUACUGCGUUUGGUUUAUGUAUUGUUGUAUUAAUUAGAUUAUUUUAUUCCCUCGUCUUUGUUAUUACAAAUUUGUAAGAGGGAUAGGAGUUGUAUGUUUUAUAUGUAUAUUAUAUUAUGAAUUAUUAUGUAAGGAGUUUUGUAUAUGAAUCUAUGCCUGCUUGUAUCUUUCUUAAGAUUAAAGUAUUUAUUUCCGGUUUUUGAAAA